AGUCAUCUUGGAGCAGCACUGUUUGAGAAGGAUUAGAGGGAUGAGGAAGUGCGGCCAUGUUGGAGGAAGUGUAACAGUGGGGUGUGCUGUGUGGAUCCGGAUGUAGAACUCUCAGCUAAUUCUCUAGCACCAAGUAUCGCUGGAUGCUACCAUGCUCCCUGCCAGGAUGAUAAAGGACUAAGCUUUGAAAGUAGAGAAACACACCAAGGAAUUUCUGGUGGUAUUCCACUUCCAAGGAUCCUCGAGGUUUCUGCUGGAUGGAGCCACUGCUGCUGACUUUGGUGUUUGCUAUUGGACUGGACUGCUGAUAUCCUGACAACAAAGAUUGGAACUACCCCUAAAAACUACUUCUAAGACUGAAAGGUAUGAAGAUCUGUGGCAAGAGGCAUGUCAGAGAAUAAGCCGAAGAAUUCUGUUAUUUUAUAGCAUUAGAUCUUCUUUCCUGUCAAAUCUGUCACUUGUGCCCUGACUCUGGCUGGGAUGAAGAGAACAAGAUGGAAAUAAAGAUAUGGAAUGCAGUGUACACUAUGUGUUUCUGCACUAACUUCCUGAAUGACUUCCUGGAUUGUGUUGCUGGAGAUGGCUCUCUGUGGACUCCUGUAUCAAUGUUUCCCUGGCAUGGGGGCAGAGCAGUCUCAGUGGUAUGUUUCUAGCUGCUGUCCCAGCCUAAAGGAUUUAAUUAUGCGUGAAGAGUUGAAACUGGAUUAUUUCUUGUUUCUUGAAUGUUGUAUGUUCCAGGCUUUGAGCCUUAGCCUACCUGAAACUCUUUCUUGCUAUCUACAGACAACCUUAUGUUUCUGGGGUCAUCUCAAAUGCUGUUCUUUCUAUAAAAUAUUUGUCCUAGAA
rnacentral:lncRNA from 1 species